rnacentral:rRNA from 1 species
ACUGCUCAGUAACACGUGGAUAACCUGCCCUGCGGUGGGAAAUAACCCCGGGAAACUGGGGAUAAUGUCCCAUAGGCUACGGAUGCUGGAAUGCUCUGUAGCUCAAAGAUUUAUCGCCACAGGAUGGGUCUGCGGCCGAUUAGGUAGUUGUUGGGGUAACGGCCCAACAAGCCUUUGAUCGGUACGGGUUGUGGGAGCAAGAGCCCGGAGAUGGAUUCUGAGACACGAAUCCAGGCCCUACGGGGCGCAGCAGGCGCGAAAACUUUACAAUGCGGGAAACCGUGAUAAGGGAACUCCGAGUGUCCGUCAAUGCGGACUGUCCGUAUGUUUAAAAAGCAUGCGAAGAAAGGGCCGGGCAAGACCGGUGCCAGCCGCCGCGGUAAUACCGGCGGCUCGAGUGGUGGCCACUAUUACUGGGCUUAAAGCGUUCGUAGCUGGGUUGUUAAGUCUCUUGGGAAAUCUAUCGGCUUAACCGAUAGGCGUCCAAGGGAUACUGGCAAUCUAGGGACCGGGAGAGGUGAGGGGUACUUCAGGGGUAGGAGUGAAAUCCUGUAAUCCUUGGGGGACCACCUGUGGCGUAGGCGCCUCACCAGAACGGCUCCGACAGUGAGGGACGAAAGCUGGGGGAGCAAACCGGAUUAGAUACCCGGGUAGUCCCAGCCGUAAACGAUGCGCGUUAGGUGUAUCGAUGACCACGAGUCAUCGAGGUGCCGAAGGGAAACCGUGAAACGCGCCGCCUGGGAAGUACGGUCGCAAGGCUGAAACUUAAAGGAAUUGGCGGGGGAGCAC